CUUGGUGACUUUAGCGGCGGGGAAACACCCGGUCCCAUCCCGAACCCGGCAGUCAAGUCCGCCAGCGCCGAUGGUACCUGGGGGGCAGCCCCCUGGGAGAGUAGGUCGUUGCCAAGA
rnacentral:rRNA from 1 species